CACACGAAAAGUGAGCUCAAUCUCACUCGCACUGAUGAACUAACACGCAUUUCAUCACUGAUCAACAUCUUGGUUUUUGAAAUUGAUAUUGCAUGCUUCUUUACAGGUUGGCUGAUCUGGGAGACUUCAAGAAAGUGAAUGAGAUCUAUGCUAAAUAUUUUCCAUCGCCUGCUCCGGCUCGUUCAACUUACCAAGUGGCAGCACUACCAAUGGACGCAAAGAUUGAAAUUGAUUGCAUAGCUGCAUUACAAUAGCCUCUCGUUCUGUUUACGCCCGAACUUCUUCUAAAUAAGCUAGAGUGACGGAGAAUUAUCAUUAUGAGAAAAAUCGAAGAGAACUUUUUAAUACUGGAGUAGUCACCCUUAACGUUGUUGUUCGUGUCUGUGUGAUAACCGAGUCUUAUGGAUUGGCCUUGUAGUUUAUUACUGUUUGUCCAUGUUGAUGUUUAUUGAACUCUCUUCCAGUUCAUCGUUGUACUUGUUUACCAUUUCUUUAUCUCAUAAUUGAGUAAAACCAAUCAUGCUUCUUAACUAAGAAA